AGAGGAUAUAUAUCAUCACAUCAAGUGUGAAGACAGAUGUUUGGCCACCCUACCAGUGAGAAGUGUGGGGUGGGGAGCACAGGGCCAUAGCUGCCAUUUCUGUGCCGAAUUAAACCUGCCACAUAAAAGGAAAAGGGUCCCUGAGCUUGAUUAAGACCUAAAAGUAGAGAUUUUUCCUGUUCCAUGCAAUUACGAGGAGUUUCUCAGCAACACUCAGGAAUACCAAUGAGCAGCUCUAUGGUAACCAAGGAGACAAAUCCACCAGCAAAAUCUUAACCAGGAAUCUUCCAGGACCAGACUCCCGCCCACAACUAAUCGCCACCAGAAAGCGCCAGAGAACAGCAUGACCUGACUCUUAACUCAGAUGACUCUACAUGGGAGUCUGACGCCCCCAAACGCCUCAUGAACCUGAGAAAGUUCACACCUUCUAGAUGCUUCUUAUAGAGAAGAAUGAUCAGUCACUGGGAUGCAGACCCUAGCUGGGAGCUACAGCGUUGCCAGGAAACAUCCAGCUCGUUGAAAUUAUUGCCUUCCCAACAGAGUAUAUUUUACAUAAAAUAUGCCCCAAAUA
ensembl:antisense Gm13324 predicted gene 13324